CACCGCUCGUCGCUACUACCGAUUGGAUGGUUUAGUGAGGUCCUCGGAUCGGCCCCAGCGGGGUCGGCCCCAGCCCUGCUGGAACAUCGAGAAGACAGUUGAACUUGACUAUCUAGGGGAAGUAAACGUCCUAACAAGGUUUCCAUAGGUGAACCUAUGGAAG
rnacentral:ncRNA from 1 species